rnacentral:lncRNA from 1 species
ACUUGGCUCUCUGGCUGGAGCUUGAGGACGCAAGGAGGGUUUGUCACUGGCAGACUCGAGACUGUAGGCACUGCCAUGGCCCCUGUGCUCAGUAAGGACUCGGCGGACAUCGAGUUGUCUUCGAAAUCAGUUCUUACAUUCUACUGAGGAGAAAGAUGCCAGUGAAACAUUGAAUGCCAAGCUUGAUUUCAUAUAUUGUUUCAACUAAGAACAUUUAAGAAGCCCAUCCUUCCCACUCCCUCCACUCAAUUCAACCUUAGUCUAUAUGGCCAGUUUGCCUAAUAUUACUUUUAAUCUAGAUUGCUGGUGUUCAAACACCUUCAGCUCUUAUGUAGUUCAUAUGUGCAACACUUUAAUCAGUAACAUCUUUCAUCACUCACAGCACCUUACUUUUCCCUCAAAGUAAUACCCGUGAUUCAUGAGCUAGAAUACCAUGAAAGAGCAUGAAAUUAAUCAUUAAAAUAUAAUGCAGUGAGGAAAAAUACAUUAAGCUUAGGGGAGCACAUUCAAGCAUAAAUGCCUCAGUUGAUCCUAUUGAUUUACCAAAGUUCAUUUUUGUGUUGAAGAAUUAGAAUGAAUUAUAAAGGCUCAGUUUUCCAUCAAAUUUGAAUGCUUUUCUUGAACAAAUUCAUUACAACCAUUGUCUAGAGAUCUGAUUGUGAUCAUUGUUUUAGCUUCAAAUACAUGGAUAAGCAAGUAAUAUUUUAAAAAUAUUGGUAUGAAGCAGUUAAUGAAUGUGAUAAGAACACAUUGAUAAAUGUGAAAAGUACUUGACAAUUGUUAAAAGAACAGAAGGUGAUGAUAACAACCUACUCUAAUAGUGACUGACUUUUCCCUAUGAGCUAACUACAGAACCUCAGGUUUCAGUGAAACAGCCAAGAAAUAUCUUUGUUUCUGGGGGAAAAGUUAUUGAGGUAUAUAUAAAGGUGCUUUGUGUGCCUGCUUCAUAAUUUCUAGUCUGAAUCCAAUAUCACAUCAGGAUUUGACGGUUAGGAACAUGGAAAACAAUCAGAUCACCAAACUCCAUAGCUGGAAUAUCCCUGGGCUGGGAGAUAGGCAAGGAAAGGAUGUGUUACUUGGUAAUAGGACCUAGCUCAUUACUCAGAAUUGUUGUUGUUGUUGUUGUAAUCAUAGAAGUUGCAUGAGAAAUCAUGUUUUUUUUCAGAUAUAUUAAUGUGGUUCAGAGCCUGGCUUCUGAAACCAACUGCCUCUGAUUGAGGUCUAACUUUAAGCUGUGUGUUUGGGCAAGUUAGCCUCUCUGAAUUGCACAUGGAAAAUCUGCUAAGGAUAAUAAACAAAUGUCACAAGUUGACAGCAUCUUGUUGGGAAAAAGGACAAAAAUGUUAAAAAAUAAAGAUAACAGAAAAAUAUAUCUUAUUCUCAGGAAAAUCACUUCCAAUGAAAUGAUUAGCAUUUUAAAGUCCGUUAAUAGUAGUUAUAUGCUUUUAGAAGUUAUUUUGCUUUGUGAGUGUACUGUUUGGAUACAGUCUGAAUUUUGUCAACGAUGACUUUAAUACAAACUCUCCUGGGAUGGUUUCAAAGAAGGUUAGUAUUGGACAUUGGUCACUUUCCCAGGCCUCAGCAGUAACUUAACAGCACUUCUUCAUUUAGAUUGAAUUUACAGCCAGUAUAUUGUGAAUAUCUGCACACUUGAAAGGAAAUGAGAAUUAUUUUGAAACAGUACUCUUUUGUUCAAGACCUUGUUCCCCU